UACGUAGGGUGCAAGCGUUGUCCGGAAUUAUUGGGCGUAAAGAGCUCGUAGGCGGUUUGUCGCGUCUGCUGUGAAAACCUGAGGCUCAACCUCGGGCUUGCAGUGGGUACGGGCAGACUAGAGUGCGGUAGGGGUGACUGGAAUUCCUGGUGUAGCGGUGAAAUGCGCAGAUAUCAGGAGGAACACCGGUGGCGAAGGCGGGUCUCUGGGCAAUAACUGACGCUGGAGGAGCGAAAGCGUGGGGAGCGAUCCGG
rnacentral:rRNA from 1 species